GAAAUGCGAUAAGUAGUGUGAAUUGCAGAAUUCAGUGAAUCAUCGAAUCUUUGAACGCACAUUGCGCCCUUUGGUAUUCUAAAGGGCAUGCCUGUUCGAGCGUCAUUUGUACCCUCAAGCUCUGCUUGCUGUUGGGCGUCUUGUCUCUAGCGUUGCUGGAGACUCGACUUAAAGUAAUUGGCAGGCUGCCGACUGGUUUCGGAACGCAGCACAAGUCGCACUCUGUAUCAGCAAAGGUCUAGCAUCCAUUAAGCCUUUUUUUCAACUUUUGACCUCGGAUCAGGUAGGGAUACCCGCUGAACUUAA
rnacentral:misc_RNA from 1 species